CAGUGUUGGGUUACUUAAAGAGCAGAACAUUUUGUUGCCUGAAUUCUUGGAAGGGUUGAUGGAAUCUGUAGACCUCGUGAGUCUGCAAAAUUGCUGCCUAACACACCUAAAAUUCCUAAAGCUGAAUCCGUUUGAACUCUUUUUAUCCAAUAUUCCUCCAUAUUGCAUAAAACAUAUUGGGUGCUCUGUCUGUGUUCCCACCUCAACAGUAGUUAGCCUUUCAAAAUAGCAUUUGUUGUUGUUUAGUAGUUUAGUCGUGUCCGACUCUUCAUGACCCCAUGGACCAGAGCACGCCAGGCACUCCUGUCUUCCACUGCCUCCCGCAGUUUGGUCAGACUCAUGUUCGUAGCUUCGAGAACACUAUCCAACCAUCACAUCCUCUGUCAUUCCCUUCUCCUUGUGCUCUCCAUCUUUCCCAACAUCAGGGUCUUUUCCAGGGAGUCUUCUCUUCUCAUGAGGUGGCCAAAGUACUGGCGCCUCAGCUUCAGGAUCUGUCCUUCCAGUGAGCACUCAGGGCUGAUAUAAUAGCAUUUACAGAGCUGAUAUAAUAGCAUUUAAAAUAGCAUUUACACCAGUCCAAAGUGCUUGCUUUUUAAAUGUUUUUUAAUUUAUUUUUUAUAAUGCUUUUUAUUAGUUUUCUUACGUUUUACAAAUUGUUCCAUUUCUUACAAAUAACAGACACAAACACACAAAAUAAAAAAUGGGGGGGGGAGGAAGAACACCCAUCCAUACACCCAUAAGUUCUGAAAAUAUAAUUUAUGACACCAUAUUCUUAAUUCCCAAUUAUUUAACCUGAUGGACUUCCAUCUUCCUCAAUGCGAGUCUGUCUUAUCUUUUUGUUAAUCUGCUUCUUUGGUCAUUUUCCCAUUUCCUCUGUUAUCUGUAUGCUAUACUUAUAAUCUGUCUUGUAAUUUGCGAAAAUUAAUCAAAGCAUGUCCAGGUUUUGACCUGGGGACACUGUUUUUUUAAAAUAUUCUCUAUAAGUUUCCCACUCUUUUUUGAACUUUUGGUUUGGCUGUCUCCUAAUUGUCUCUGUCAUUUUUGCUAAUUCUAGAUAUUUAAAUAGUUUAUUCUGCCAUUCCUCUUUUGUUGAUAUUGAUUCUCCUUUCCAUUUUUUUGCAAUCAGUAUUCUUGCUGCUGUUGUAGCAUAUAGAAAUAUUCUCCUUUUUUUUAUUUAUUUGGAAUAUCUGAAUCUAAAAUGCCCAAGAGGAAGGCUUCUGAUUUCUUUGUAAAAGUUUGCUUAAACGUUUUUUUCAAUUCCUCAUAAAUGUCCCAGAAAUUCUUAAUUUUUUUGCAGCCCCAUCACAUAUGAAACUAUGGCCCUUCUGCCUGUUUACACUUCCAGCAAGUAUUAGAUCUCAUUUUAUACAUUUUGGCCAGUUUGCUGGGAGUUAUAUACCACCUAUAGAACAUCUUCUAGAAAUUUUCCUUUAGUGUAUAACAUGCCGUAAAUUUCCAUUCUUUAUUCCAUAAUCUUUCCCAUGCCGACAAUUGGAUAUUCUUACCAAAAUCUUUUGCCCACUUAAUCAUUACUUCUUUCACCUCUUCAUCUUUCACCUCCCACUCUAAAAGAAACUUGUACAUUUUAGAUAUUACUUUUCUUAUUCUGUAUUAAUUCUUUAUCUAAUUUUGAUUCUUCUGUUGCAAAACCUUUUUUCCUGUCUGUCUUUAAAACCUUAUUUAAUUGGUAAUAUUGUAGCCAGUCCAUUAGGUGAUGUCUGAUUUCUUCGAAUUGUUUCACUUUCAAUUGAUUAUCUUCUUCUAAUAGGGCUUUGUACGUGGCCCAAUUUGUUUCCAUUUUUUUUCUUUUCACUGCAAUGGCCUCCAGAGGGGUUAGCCACCAUGGAGUUUUUGGUUCCAAUAAAUCUUUAUACUUCUCCCAUACCUUAUAUAGUGGCUUCCUUAUGAUAUGAUUCAGGAAGCCUCUAUGAAUUUUAACUUUUUCAUAUCCUAGGUAGGCAUGCCACCCAAAGCGAUUAUCGAAACCUUCCAAAUCUAGUAAAUCUGAGUUCUGCAAUGUCAUCCAUUCUUUUAGCCAACAUAAGCAAGCUGAUUCGUAAUAAAAUUUCAGGUCUUUUAAAAUAUAUUUUUCCUUCACCUUAUCACGUGUUGUUUGAAGGUGGUUUAAAAAAUAAGAAUGGAAUAACAAAACAAUCCAAAGGGUUCAAGGGAGGGAGGGCUCCAAGGUGGAGGAGCCACCAAAGGAAGAGCAGAAAAAUGGAAGGGUGGCACUUUAUCUUCUCCCCCUUUUCCAUGUCCUUAUAAAAACAGCUCCUCCCAUUGGAAGGAAAUAUAAGUACACUGGGAUUAAGGCCAGCACACUCUCCUACCCAUUCUCUGUGUGUCAGAGGAACAGGAGAAUCUCCUGGACCCAAAACCUCCACCAGCAUACUCCUUGAAUGUUUCUUUUCCCCUCCUGCUAUUGUCGGGAUACUAAAGGCAGCAGAGGAGAUUCCCAUGGUAGUAGCAGCUCACCAGGUGUGGUGCUGCCAUUUUGCUAGCUUCCUGGCAGGUGGGUCACUAUUGUUUACUGAGAGGUUGAGAGGUGAACUUAUAGGGAGCUCAGUGGGGUGCAAACACAGUGGCAGGAAUGCUGUUCUGCCUGACUGAGACUGACACCUUGCAAGAUGGCUGCCGAACGCUUGACCAACUCUAAGAACUCUGCAUUCUUCUGAUACCAAUCUCUGGACUUCCGGGUUUGCCGCGGCUCAACUCCAAACACGCGUUUCUUGGGCUCCAGAAGACAUGCACUCACCGGGGGGGUGAAACGGGGGUUGUAAGGCUUCACAACCCCUCAGAAGGUUCAGGAGGGCUUCCAGACCUUAGAAGGAUUCGUUGUGAUGUGGGAAGGUCUCCAAAAACAGACCUAGAGGUUCGGGAAGAAGACCACGGGUGUUGGUAACAGCGUUCCCUCCCCCCGGUGAGAAAGCCUACACUGUAUAAAGCAAUUUCACCAAAUUUCAGGCAAAUUUCACAGUUUUAUUUUUUCCAGAAAGUGUCUGAGGUGAAAAAAAGUCUCAGUAAGUUUAUUGGUUUUUGCUUUGGGAUUGUUGUGGGGGGGUUGUGUGUGUUGAUGUUUAUCUCUCUCUCUCUCUCUCUCUCUCUCACACACACACACACACAGAGAGAGAGAGAGAGAGAGAGAGAGCACAACACAAACACACACACCCCAACACAAAAUGAUUCACUGAUGUACAUUUGGGGCCCAUAAUCAAUUUUCUAAUUGAAAACAAAAAGGAACGUGAGCCAACAACAACAACAACAAGUAUUUUAUUGAUUUUUGUCACUUUUUUGACCCACUUUUCAACAUAUUGGGAUGAGUCAUGUCCCAUGGCAUUUUUCAGAGAAAAUGUUGAUCCUGGAAGGCAGUCUUCUUUUGACAGCAUAUCCUUGGUUUCUGGGACACUUCAUUCCCACAAGAUACAUUGGAAUUUAGCUUACAGCUAGAAAAACAUCCCCCCUCCUAUUUAUUCCUAGAUAUAUAAAAAUAUGAGACCAUCACUGUACAGCUUCCAGUGGAGGAUUUGCAGUUGCCCCAUCACUAUUCUGGAUCUGCAUUAAGGUUAGGGGAAGGGAGCACAAGAGGAGUCGGGUUGCAUAACAGCAGAAGAAAAUGAUGGUUUUGAAAAACAGCAGAAGUUUGUUUGAUUAAAGCAUGGUGUUGAGGUACACAGAGGAAAUGGCGGUUUUAAACAGCAAGUUUGAGAAAAGGAGGGACAGGGGGAAACAGAGGGGGAAAGUGAUUUACCAUAAGCAAUGGCAGAAGUUUAAACAGAAUGAGGAGGGAUAACAAUGGGGCGGCAGUUUAGAACAAGGUUUUUGAGUACAUCAUAAAGGUGUAAUGGCAUGUAUGAAUGAGCAUGUGUACAUAAAGGGGGCUGUGGAAUAGGGGAGAGGAUAAGGCAGGGAAAUGGGUGUGAUCUGGGUGGAAGGGAGGGUUAAGAAAAGAAAGGAGGAGGGUGGAGCAAAAGAGAGUGUGAAAGUAAAAAAGUCAUGCAUAGUGGGUACAAAAAAUGACAGAGUAGGAGACAUGGGAAUGGGGCGGAAGCUGAAUGUUUCUGUAGAACACAGAAGCCAACUCCUAGAGCCCAAGGGGUCUUUGCCACCCCCAUAAAAUAUUUGAAGGAGCCCCCCCCCCAGUUAAUGGACAUUGCCAUUCAAAUGGUGUGCAUGCUCCACAUCAAUUAUGCAGGGUGGAACUUACCUGCCCCUGCCCAAAUAUUCUAGCUAGCACCCCUGCUGUACAGUGGGAGGCGGUGGCUUCAUGACUGGGCAGAAAGUGAGAAGGGUGGUUAGUAUUUGCAAUGCAUGGGAAGAAGAAGAUGCAAGAAGUUAGCAUGGAGGUGGUCUGUGUGAACGGGGGAUUGUGAAAAAGGAGAGGGAGGAGGAGACAAUGAGGCAUGAGGCAAAGGUGAGAAUUGAUGCAAAGCAGGUCUGCAGAAUAGAAGAGACAAGUGGCUUUGGAAAUGUGGUUGGGACAGUGAAAAGCAAGCUUGGUAGUUGCAUAAGGCAGGAAGGGGAAGCAGUAGGGGGUUCAUGUGAAGAGAAUGGUGUGGGUGUUGACAAGUGGACAGGAACACAGCACCUAGUGUGUUAAAUUUGUAACUGGCCUGGGUGAAGUUACAGGGGACCUAGUGAAGUUACAGGAGCCAGGAAAGAGAACCGUGUGGGGACUUUACAAGAGCAGGAUGAUUAAACAGGAAAUCCUUGUACACAAUAGGAUGUGAGAAAGCUAAGAACAGAUGCAAUAUUUCCACCACCCCCGUCUUCUUUUCUCUUACUGUUGAGCUUGUAGUAAUUCCCAGACAUUUAAGUUAAAUGAUGCCAGUUUCCUUGUACUGCUUGGACACAGAAUAUGGGUCUAUGGAGACUGUACAGCUCAGAGAUGAGGGACCUGUGGCCCUUGGCAACAACUUGCAUCCUCCCUGACCACUGGCCAUUGUUGCAAGGAAUGAUGGGAACUGGAGUCCAGCGGCAAAUGGAAAGACACAGGUUCGCCACCCCUGCUAUAAACUACUAUGGAUGCUCAUGCCUUGGAAGUACCACUUAAAGUUACAAAUUCUCUUUUCUUCAAUCCAGAACGGAUCACAUACACUGUACCCUGCUAUUAGGGAUUUGAUUCAGUCAUGUUGGCAUGAGGCAGUAAACACGACACAACAGAGACACUUUCACAACUUCACACUUACCUUCAGAAUUGCCCUGCCCCUGCCCCUGCCCCUGCUCCUCAUGUUGAAGAAGUCUUGCUUAAUUCUCUGUGGUCAGUGAAGCAAGAAGUGACCUGCUGUUUAGGAGGAGGGAAGAAAACAAUUACAGGACUUAUUUGACUCAAUUGAAUCUCAGUUUUGAAAAGCAACCCUUGUCAAAAAACACUACAGUAAAUUAAAAUGAAACCCCAUCAGUGGCAUGAAAUAGCUUGUGGUGCAACAUGCUUUUAUGUCAGUAAUAUGCCUUAAAGCAUAUAUAGCCAUAUAAUAGGAUCACCACAUCCGAGGAGGAUGUACAAUGCUAAAAAAAUAAUGCUCAGCUUGUGGGGUUUCUUUUUCUUUUGAAAUAGAGAUAUGAAUCAAGUUUACAUUGCAAAUAAAGUUAAGGGAGAAGCACUGGACAUGAUGACUGUGCAACGUGCUCUUACCAUGCAGUUGGUCAAUUGAUGAAAUCAGACUACUAUUGCGUGCUAGACUCAAUAUUCAUUUUUAAUUGGUCAGGGUUAUGAACCAUGUAGGAAAUAUUCUGAAAUACAGUUCUGAUUAAUAGUUUAUGGACGGGGGGGAGGGGUUGGAUGCUCCAUAACAAGUGCAGUUCCAGAGAAAAGGGGACAAUUGUAGAUGCACCCCAUGUGUAAAGAAAGGGUGUGUGGUGGCUUUAUUUAUUGCUAUAGGUGCUUUCACCUACACCCAGAGAAUCAAUAGAAGAUUGGAAAGACCAACAGAGUUGUUAUGCAAAAUACUGUGUUUCUAAUGUCUGUUCCCUUGAAGACAAUUACAAUUUGUAGCAUUGCACAGCAAACAGUAGCUUUUCAGUUAUUGCUCAUGGUCAGCUUAUGGCCUUUUCCAGUUUAACAGUGCGAUUCUCUCUCUCUCUCUCUCUCUCUCUCUCUCUCUCUCUCUCGUUACAUGCCACUCCAAUCUCUGAGUGGUACAAGAUUCCAGGGGUACCAGGCAUGCUUACCAGGGUCUGUGUUUCCUUUUGGACAAUGUGGCACAACAGAGACUGUAGUGUCUUUAUGAUAUGCAGUUUAUUUACACAUAUAUACAACCUGAGCCUACUGUUGAAUAGGUUCAGAGCAUUACACUCAAGACAAGUUUCAUCUCCCUCAUGUUGGAUCCCAAACUGCCAGCCCCCAUGCUGCUCUGGCCCCCCUUUCUCAUAGCUUGCAAAACACAACUAUUUUUCCUCUUCAGCUUGCAUCAUAGCCCAAUUCUGAUGGGUUAUCUCCCUGCUUUUGUUCCCUGCUAAUGGCCCAUCUUAGUGGCCAUUAUCAGGUUGACCGGUGUUAUUUCUGACCCUUGCUAGAUCCAAAAAUUUGGGAGAUUCUUAAAUUCUAGCCCUUUCCUGUUUCCAGGAAUUUAGGGGAGUCUUGCACCCCACAAACACAUAACAAUAUAUGUCUAUAAAGCAUGAGCAGGAAAUUGACACAUUGACAAGUCAAUCCUAUGCGAGUCUCACUCUGCUCCUUCCUGUAGAAUGGGUUCCUUAGAUCACGUUACUGCUUUUGCUUCAAUUGGAUUUAGUAUAAUGCUGCUUCUUAGUGGCAUAUGAUCUUUUGCUCAACUCUAGUUUGCAUUCUGGUGGUGUUCAGGUAGGAUGGGGUGGAUCUGUCAGUUUUGCUUUCUGACAGUUGCAUGUUUUCCCAGUCCUUUCCGUUCUCCACAUAUAAUUUAGCAUAUAAUUUGGACAAGAAAAUUGGCUUCCAGGUGGAAAAAUCAAAAUUAGAAACAGAACUGUUAGAACCCAAAACUAAGAAUUUGUCAAGAAUGUAUAACUUGCUGUUGAAAUGGAAUACUCAGGAUGAAACGGUGAAAUCUGCUAUGAUUAAAUGGGCACAAGAUGUUGGACAUAAUAUUAUGUUUGCUGACUGGGAACAGUUAUGGACCACAGGUAUGAAGUUUACGGCAUGUAAUGUCCUAAGAGAGAAUAUUAUGAAAAUGAUAUACAGGUGGUACAUGACCCCAGUCAAGCUUGCAAAAAUCUAUCAUUUGCCCGACAAUAAAUGUUGGAAAUGUAAAGAAACUGAAGGUACAUUCUUUCACCUUUGGUGGACGUGCCCAAGGAUUAAGGCCUUCUGGGAAAUGAUAUAUAAUGAACUGAAAAGGUAUUUAAACAUACCUUCUUGAAGAAACCAGAGGCCUUUCUCCUGGGCAUAGUCGGCCAAUUGGUGCCAAAGAAGAACAGAACUUUUUUUAUGUAUGCCACAACAGCAGCAAGAAUACUCAUUGCAAAGUAUUGGAAGACACAAGAUUUACCCACUGUGGAAGAAUGGCAGAUGAAGCUGAUGGACUAUAUGGAACUGGCAGAAAUGACGGGCAGAAUCCGAGACCAGGGAGAAGAGUCGGUGGAAGAAGAUUGAAAGAAAUUUAAAGAUUAUCUACAGAAAUAUUGUAAAAUUAAUGAAUGUUAGAAUGAUGUUGGAUAGUAAUUAAGUGGUUUCCAGCUGUAAUGCUUUAAGGGAAUAUGAAAAAAGGGUUAUAAAUAGGUAAAAAUUUAAUAUUAUUAUUUUUAAAGGAUUUGCUGAACCAACAGAUUGAAGUGGAAUACAAAAAAGGGAGGUAUGAGGAGGUCCGGGAAAUAAGUCAAAGGAAAAUAAGUAAUGGAAAAUCUGUGUGUUUUUAACUAUUUUUAUUUUGUAUUUUUGUCAUUUAUUUUUUCCAUUUUUAUUGUAAUAUUUUAAAAAAUCUUAAUAAAUAUCUUAUUAAAAAAAAAAAGUUCUCCACAUUUUCACACCAGGCUGCAUUUUUUUUUAAAAAAAAAGUUCUCGGGAAAAUUCAUCAGUGAAUUUUUCCUAAUACAUGUUAGUAUUCAACUUUGCCAAAUAUUCACCUUUUUUGCAAAGCAGUGUCCCUCUACAUAAUGCAUGUUCAUGUUUACUCUAGAUUCAGGUAAGUAGCCAUGUUGAUCUGACGCAGUUGAAACAAAAAUAAAAAAAUUAAAAUUUUGUCUAGUAGCACCUUAUAGACCAACUAAGUUUGUUCUGGUAUAAACUUUCAUGUGCAUGCACACUACUUCAGAUACAUGUUUACUCUAGUAUGUGCAUUUUUAUACAAAUUAUUUGGCUGGAGUAUUACAUUGCAAAAUUGAGAGAUGUGUGAAUUUCCAAAACUGGAUGUGUUUAGGUUUGCAUGUUGUGAAUUAGAUAGGUUCGCCUUUAAAUCUGAAUCAAAUUGAAUUUCCCUCUGAACAGUUCAGGUUAAUAUUAUAUAAUUCUCUUUGCUGCUUGUCAAUGAGUUUAUUGUGGGAAGUCUCUCCCCCCCCCCCCUUUCUCUCUCUCUCUCUCUCUCUCUCUCUCUCUCUCACACACACACACACACACACACACCAUUCCUGGGAACUUCCAUGCACUGACACUGAUUUUUUUUUGUUUCAGAUGAAGAUAUUUCCCUUUCCCUGGGCAUUUGUUGAUUUUCCUAAUGCCAUUCUGUUGCUGCCGCUGUGUAAAAACUGUUAAACAGUUAAACAAGCAGAAGUAGCACUGCAACUUCUCAGCCUCCUCAGAAGCAAUUUUAUUUAUUUAUUUAAACAUAUGCAUUUCUGUGUGGAUUCUGUAAGCCUUAAUUGGCUGGUUUGGGUUGAGUUCAUUCUAAACUGAGCUUAGUGAAGUUCACCCAUUGCCAGUUCUCAGGCUGGCACUCUGGUUGAUGCAAGAUUGUGUUUCUAUUUGCAGAAAUGGCAGAGCAAAUCUUUGGGGGAAUGCCAUAAGCAAGUUUGAGAAAGCAUAAACUCUGUAAGCUAUUCACGCCAAAAGACAACAAAACUCACCGAGCCAUUUUAUUAAACAGACAUUGCAAGGUUAAAUAAAUAAUAGUUCUGUAUUCUCUCCAAAACAAGCUGUGUUGAUAAGACAACACCCUUUUGCUACAUUCAAGAUCCUUCUGAAUACACAGAUAAUUUGACUGGCCUCCCUUAAGAGUCCGUAACCAUAACCACAAAAACCAUUCAGUUUUAUUAAUUGACUGAGAAAAUGGAGGAUGCUUAUUUUGUAUCAGUUUUGGAGGGUACCCAAAGGGUUGUGUCAACUGUUGACCUGAAGGGGGCUCCAAUGUCUUUCACACAGAGCCUUGUUCUUAGCGAGAUGGUGAAUCUGUACGUGCACAUUAAAAACAACAACACACCAUUAAGAUAUCAAAGAGAAGAUUAGCCAAAAACUAUAUGCAGCUUUCUUUUUUCAUUUUCACAGAAUAUUGGGGAAAUGGAAUAGAGCAGAUUUGUGUGUGAAAUACAUGUGAGGGAGAUAUGCACCUAAAAUAGAUUACUUUGUCCAUUUUAGCUUUCACUGAGACCAUUUUUAGGACUGAAAUGUUACUUUAGUGCAGGAACCAGAAACAAAACAACAUCUCCUGCUAUGAGAGCAGAGCUGCUGGGAAAGCAUCUCAAGAUCCAUUAAUCAAAAAUCUCCAGGUCUUUUGCAUCCUGUAUACCAAAGAGGUGGGGCUAUUUGCCAAAAGGAUUCAGGUGGGAAACUGACAGAUGUACUGCAGACAGGUAAAUCAAAACCGAGGAACAAUGUUUUCUCGACGUAUGUGCUAGAUGGAGUUCUGGGCUCCAGUGCCAGCCCUUCCUUGGGCUUCAUGUGAGAACGUGUUCUUUGAACUAACAGGGGUGCAUCGCCUGCCUUGAUCUGUUUUUUAUGUAACAGUGGUCAUAACACACAAAAGAUUAUGUUCUGCCCUGGCAAAAAGAAAGAAAUGGCAAAAACAUGUUUGUGUCAACAAAACAAAACUCUUUAUGAACUUUUUUGUUAUUUCAAGUAACUAUAAUAUAGCUUUGCUUUGUGUUGUGGUCUAUAUCCAGGGCCGGAUUUUGGUUUGAUGAGGCCCUAAGCUACUGAAGGUCAUGGGGCCCUUUAUAUGUCCAACUGUCCUUUGAAACAACAAAUUGUCGCUGUUUUUUUGUGUUGAAUUGGUACUGUGUGGUAAUUUAUGGAUCUAAUAGGUAUCUAAAGCCAUUUGCACAUAACAAAAUAUGGAUUUUAUCAAAGUAAUUGUUGAACUGAAAUACAAUUAAGAAGUAUCUUUUAUAGGUAUCUAAAGCCAUUUUAUUUGUUUUUUAUCUUAUAUUUUGGAAAUGUACAUCCAGGGUUUUUUUUCCUUUAAAUUUUUUAGGGGCCCCCAAGAGAGUGGGGCCCUAAGCUAUAGUUUGUUUAGCUUAUACGUAAAUCCGGCACUGUCUAUAUCCCACCAUUUAAAACAAUUUUCAGACUAGCUAAUUCAUGCUACCCCUAAGAGUCCAAUCAUAUAUUGUGUAGUAUAAGAAUAUGUGUGUCCCUGCAUGUCUGUCUGAAUGUCUCUGUACGUGUCCUGUAUUUGUUUUUGUGUUCUCAUGGUGGGUGUGUUGAGGAGCUGACAUAAGAAGCUGCCUUCUACUGGAUCAGAUGCCUGGUCCAUCCAACUCAGUAUUACCUAUACUGACUAGCAGUAACUCUUCAGAGUUUUAGUCAAGAGUCACUCCCAGCCCUGCCUAAGGGUACUGAGGCUCAAACCUCCGAAAUAAAGCCCUUUGUAGGGAAGGAAGAAGGGAUGUGUUUGCAGGAUGCACUUCAAUGUGAGUGAUUCCCCUCUACUCAGGGCUCGUCCAAACUUCUGCCUGUCCUGUGCCCAGAAGGCAUGGGUCUGCGAGGUUUUCUGCUUGCCCCGUGCUUUCUAGGCACGGGCUCAAGAUGUUUUCCGUUUGCCCUGCCACUUUCCCCAGGAAAACUCACUCUUUACCACUGAAUCACAGGAAACAGCGGUCCAUGGAAAACUCAGUUGACGUUGGCUUUGAUUCAGCAGUAGAGAGGGGAAAGCAGUAGGGCAAACAGAAAUGUGGACAAGCUCUCAGUCCCCAAGCUUCCCCACCUUGCAUAGGACUUCUUCCGCUUGUGUUCGCCUGGAUGCAAGCCAAACCCUUCAUGGGAUCAGGGCCCCUGCUUCAUCUUUGUCUGUGACCAUACGGAGAGUUCUACUCAGAGGAAUGUGAGAAGAAUCCCUAUGCAGAGCUUUUCCGCACAACAUGGGGAGGUUGCGGGGCUGAGCAGAUGGCACUCUGUGUGUGGUGAUGUUGGGAUGGGGUCUGUGUUCAUGACUCUGCUCCCUGCACAGUUGGGUGCUUGUGAGUUCAUGUAAACACCUGAAUUUCCCUUAAGUGUGAGUGUGCUUCUUGUGUGUGUAUGUGUGGAGAUUGUGUGCUAUGUAUGUAUUGUGUGCUAUGUAUGUAUGUUUGUAUGUAUGUAUGUACAUGUGGUGAAUACGUGAGGAUGCAAUAGCUAUUUUGGCCACAUUCAAUGCUGGCAUCAGACAGAAAAGGGUUAGCCACUCCUGAUAUGCCCACUUACCUGGGAAUAAGCCCCAAUGGACUCAGUUUCUGGACUUUAUCAGCAAGAUUAUCCUUGCUGCUGCUUGGGUUAAUAUCUGUGAUAGUUUAAUUUUAAGGUUUUAACUUUAAUUUUGCUAUCUGAUAUGGAACCAAAUGGUUCCAUAUUUCCUUUCAGUCAACUCACUGCUGAGCCAGUUUGCAACAUUCAUUUGACCAAGCCUCUUUUAUCUUCAGGGUAUUUAUAUGUUCUUGGGUUGUUUUUUUAAUUCAAGUUGAUAGAUCUCAAUCUGAUUUAUAUCAUCAUACCACACAGCAGAUUCCACAGCUGAACAAUCUUCUCAAGGUAGAUAGCACACGAAACUGCAGAUCCUUGCCCUAAAUACAAACUUUAUCUCUUCUUUGCAUUUACAUGUAAAUGACGCUAAAUGCAGAGUGUUGGGUUAAUGAAAGAUUAGGCUGGAGGCUUAAUAGGCAGCAAAUGGUGGGUACUUUGCAGCCGAGGUUGCCGUGGGAACCUUAACUUGUGUCCCCGUGCAAUAUGCGUAAGCAUCACGAUAACAGCUUCUCAGAAUAUGAUAGCAAAUGAUCAGGGACAUGUGACGUAUUAUCAAGCAAAUAUUUGUUCUUUGAACAUGAGUAAGGCAAAGGCCGGCACUUCCUCAAGUUCUGCCUUGGGGCAGCCUUGUCACUUGGGGUUGCCUCUGGAGAUAACCACAGCUCAACCUUCCUUUGGCCAGCUCCUGCCAGUUGGCUGGAAGGGGUUUUUCUUGCGUUACUCUGGUGAAAGAAAUUGUUUAGGAUGUGAGAGCUGAGCGCAAACACUCAUCCUCUCACGCUCUCUUCUUGACCUCCGUGUCUACGUGAAUUCUUUUCCAUCAAGAGCACACCAUGAGGCCCAAGCACUGUUGAACUAAGCAAAGCCUAGGACAGUCUGAAGACCUCAGACGGCAGCAAGGGUCAAUGGCCAAAGCAAACAUCCCAAUGCUGGUUGGCAGCAGUGAAUGCCCAAAGCACAAAACUGGCCUUAGGCUAAUGUUUUUAACUGCCAUGAGGCCAUAGAAGGACUAGGCAACUGUCUGAAAAACAAAGAAACUUAGGCUCAGUUCUGAAAUAGAGGCAAACUUCGUACUGAAAUUGUUGGGAGAGGAGAGAAACAAAAAGAAAUGAGAAGAACAAUCUUCAAAAAGAAACCUUUUUAGAAAUGUCCGCCUCUGCCCCUUACCAGUUUUAAGCACCAAAUAUUAAGUGUGGAUUGCAAAAUGGCUUCCAGCUGUUGUUUACCAGACUGCAUCCCACCUGUUAAAAAAAAAAACUUCUUAAAAAUGGUUUUGCUUAAAAGUGAAGAUGCAAAAGUAAAACCUGUCUGGAGUCCUUAAAUAACAAUGACAGUUCACUUCAAGUUUGAUCCUUCUCUAUGUCCCCAUUCUUUUUUGACUUUCAGUGGCAGCAGUCAAAUCAAAUUUGGUAUUUACUUUAAAAUAAAAAGACUCAGGUUGUAAAAUCUUUUCCCUCUCCAUGAGUUGACAGAGGAACCAACAGGAGCAUAGAACUGCCCUUCUAAUUUUCCACCCCUAAAAUGUUGCUGCCUUAGGCUCCACCAGUUCUCUUAGUGGUUAAACCAGCUCUGACUGUGGGGAGGGAGAAUUGAAUGGAAUGAUUGGAAAUCUGAACAUGAGUCACACUGCAAUGUUUUGUUGCAGCCCUCACUUUGUAAAAGGGUCAGCCCUCAACAUGGCAAUAGUGGCCAGAGGUGAAGGAAUGAAACAAAAUGUUUAACAGCCUACAGGUGCACCGCCACAUUGUUCAAAGGCAAUGUGAUGUUUGCCUUCUCUGGGCUUAAAAUAGUUUUAUGCGACUUUAAACCAUUCUGCAUUCCAACCCUAAUGGACAAAAAUGUUUAAACAAAUGUCACUCAAUGCUCAUAAACCAGGCAUGGGAAGAGGAAAGGAAUGCAAAAACCAACUUUUAAAGUAUGUUUCAGGAGAUCUGUAGGCGAUUGAGGCAGCAGUGUGAUACAAGAAUGAUAAGAUCCACAAAAAUCAUUAUUGUGUUUUCCAAAUGGAAAUGAUUGAUUUAUGACCUUGCUUUGUAUCUAUCUGCUCUGGCUCCAGCAGUUUGUGCUGUGAAUGAUAAAGAAUAAAUUGAAGAUGGAUUCCUUCUCCCCCGAAAGCACGCUGGGAGAGUAAAGGCUCUACAACAGGCUCUAAGCUGUUCAACACCAGCAGGAGGGCAUUCCUUCACCACCUGCAAUUUGUACAGAGUCUUCAAGAGAGGGUCAGAAUGUGCCUCCCAAGUUGGCUGGUGCAGUCAACAAUUUUCUGGAUUCCUGUGUUCACUUAUUGAAUAGCCUUCCUACAUCAUUGCAUGUGCCAUGUAAAAGUGUACCAGUGCAUUAUUUCUAGCAGUAUUUUGCUAACCAUCCUGGGAGCUGGAGGGUGGGAGAGCUGACAGACCCAAUCCAAGGUGUUAGAAU